AGUAAUGCCUAGGAAUCUGCCUGGUAGUGGGGGACGAACGUUUCGAAAGGAACGCUAAUACCGCAUACGUCCUACGGGAGAAAGCAGGGGACCUUCGGGCCUUGCGCUAUCAGAUGAGCCUAGGUCGGAUUAGCUAGUUGGUGAGGUAAUGGCUCACCAAGGCGACGAUCCGUAACUGGUCUGAGAGGAUGAUCAGUCACACUGGAACUGAGACACGGUCCAGACUCCUACGGGAGGCAGCAGUG
rnacentral:rRNA from 1 species